UACGAAGGGGGCUAGCGUUGUUCGGAAUCACUGGGCGUAAAGCGCACGCAGGCGGAUCGUUAAGUCAGGGGUGAAAUGCCGAGGCUCAACCUCGGAACUGCCUUUGAUACUGGCGAUCUUAGAGUCCGGGAGAGGUGAGUGGAACUCCGAGUGUAGAGGUGAAAUUCGUAGAUAUUCGGAAGAACACCAGUGGCGAAGGCGGCAUCCUGGACCGGCAUUGACGCUGAGGCGCGAAAGCCAGGGGAGCAAACGGG
rnacentral:rRNA from 1 species